AAAUGAGUAGGACGAUGAACUGUUUCUGCUGGUAUAUUGUUGGUCAGAAGAGAUUGACUACUUUUCUUCUCCCUUCAAGGGUUCUAUUCUUUCUUAAUAUCUUUUAUUUGUAUCUUGUUUUUUUCUUCUUUAUUUUGGUUCUUUCCUUGUAUGAAAGUAGAUAGGGAGUAAAUUGUUGUGGACUUAAUGGUCAUGUAACUAAACUGGAAGCAAUCAGGGGCGGGGGUUUGUGUACAGAAG
rnacentral:misc_RNA from 1 species